ACAAACACACAAACCUCUCCCUGUCCUCACCUGUGUGACGUUGGGAGGCUAGGUGCCUUUAGCUCUUUAGUAAAGGUUUGCCUACAGGAACGUGAUGCCGUGUUCUGCUGAAAAGCUGUAUUUCGGACAAGGAACGCGGCUCACUGUACUAGGAGUUGACCAAGAUGUCAGCCCCCCUCAAGUGACCGUAUUUGCCCCGCCCAGGCAGGAGGUUGACGAAAAGGAGAAAGCCACCAUUGUGUGUUUGGUCACCGAUUUCUUCCCAGAUCAUGUCGCCCUGAGCUGGACGGUGAAUAACGAGAAGAGAACGGCUGGGGUAAAGACAGAGGAACCAGUAUAUGACAAAACCACGAAGCGCUAUUCAAUGACCAGCCGUUUAAGAAUCACCAAGGAAGAGUGGCAGAAUGCAGAUAAUAAGUUUGUGUGCAGAGUCAGUUUCCACGGCACAGAAGGAUCCACAGACCAUGAGGAUGACAUAAAUGGUGCAGAUUGUGGUGGCGGCAGCGAGGCUGCAAGAGAGUCGUACCUCACGGAAGCCUAUCUUGGGGAACUGGUGUAUAUUCUUCUCAUUCUCAAGAGCACCUUGUAUGGAGCCUUUGUGAUGGGAUUAAAACUAAGAAAAAAGUUGGCACCAUAGGCACGUUUUACCUGGGGGCAUCUAUCCUGAGCUGAGUGAACUCCAUGAAGACAGGAGGGAAGAUGGAUACUCUCAACCUCAGAAGUCCAAAGUAGCAUUUUCUUAAAACAAAAACAGUUGCUUAGGGUCAGUCAGUAAAUAAUUUCUCUUUGGUUUUCUUAAAUGCUUUAUUAUUUUGUAUUGGAAACAUUUAUAAAAAGCUUUUUUUGGGGGGGGAGAAGUCCUUUACCUUGGACUGAGGAGGACACACAAAGGCAGGGGACAGUUGGUGGGGGUGUCCCUGUAGGGU